AAUUUCUUGUUUACAACUAUAUGUGCUAUACUAUUUAUUUUGUUCUAUACUAUUUGGGUUUAGAGUUUAUACUUGGGUUUAGGUUUGAUGAUUAAGAUUUAGGGUUUAGUAUUUGGAAGGUGGGGGUUGAUGUUUGGGUUUAGUGACUGUAUUAUGUAUGUUCUAUUUGACGAUUAAAAAAAAGUGUUUUUUUUGCUUACCAAUUUAUACUAUACUAUGUAUUUUGUUCCAUUCUAUUUGGGUUUAUAGUCUAUACUUGGGUUUAGGGUUUAGUGACUAGGAUUUAGGGUUUAGUAUUUGGAAGGUGGGAGUUUAGAUUUGGGUUUAGUGAUAGCAUUUUUGGGUUUAGUAUUCAAAAGUUAGGUCUGAGUUUAGCAUUGAGGAGUUUUGUUUGGAUUUAGUUUAAUAUUAUAUAAUAUUAUAUACUAUUUUCAGAUUUUGAUAAUUGGGUUUAAAGUUUAUAUUUGGGUUUAGGGUUCAGUAAUUAGGGUUUAGGGUUUAGUAU
rnacentral:lncRNA from 1 species